rnacentral:rRNA from 1 species
UCGAGGAUCUUCGGCAAUGGGCGCAAGCCUGACCGAGCGACGCCGCGUGCGCGAUGAAGGCCUUCGGGUUGUAAAGCGCUGUCGAGGGGGAGGAAGGCCCGCAAGGGCUUGACCUAUCCCUGGAGGAAGCACGGGCUAAGUUCGUGCCAGCAGCCGCGGUAAGACGAACCGUGCGAACGUUGUUCGGAAUCACUGGGCUUAAAGGGCGCGUAGGCGGGCCCCCUUGUCCGGGGUGAAAGCUUUCGGCUUAACCGGAAAAGUGCCCCGGAAACGGGGGGCCUGGAGGGAGGUAGGGGCAGCCGGAACUUCCGGUGGAGCGGUGAAAUGCGUUGAUAUCGGAAGGAACGCCGGUGGCGAAAGCGGGCUGCUGGACCUCUACUGACGCUGAGGCGCGAAAGCCAGGGGAGCGAACGG